AAGGGUAUAGCUUAGUGGUAGAGCCUGUGCUUAGCACGCACAAGCUCCUGUGUUCAAUCCGCAGCACCUCCA
rnacentral:tRNA from 1 species